rnacentral:lncRNA from 1 species
UAUACUAUAAGAAUUCUAUUCCCAGAUUCCAAUCUCAUUCGAACACGUGACCUUAUGACCACCAAGAAUCUUAAUAGUUAAUAUUAGAGGCCAUACAUGAUUCCAAACUCUAUCUCUUUAAGCUCCAGACCUUUCUCCUUUGUUAUCUCCGCCGUCAUCGCUAUGAACUGCUUACUCAAGAACUCAUAUGCUCGCCUGGUUUUUUCUUUCACAACUCGCUCUCAAUUCACACUCUCGAUCAUUAUUCUCACCGUGAAUCUCUUCUGUUCUCUAUUCAAUACAAACCCAAUAGAUUACAUGGACACCUGCAAAAGAACCAGACAGAUUACAUCGCCAAACUCGGAGGCAGGAACCUGACUUGGAAUGACUGGUUCCUUUUCAAGUGUCUCGUCUGAUUUUCCUUGCCAGGGAGACCGCGGGGAUCACCACUGAGAUCUAUUUUGUUGAUUGCAUCCAUCGACCAACUUGUUUAGUGCUAGAUUCAUCUGGUUUAUCGCAGCUCCAGAUUCACCGACAGGCCGCCUAGCGCCCAACAGCCCAACCGCCCAGGCGCCUAGUGGCCCGCCUAGGCCGCCUCGGCGGACGCCCAACCCCAGCCCGCCCAACUCCUCCGAUUUAGCACUACUCAAGUCGGAGAGCUGCCGCCCAGCGCCUAGGCGCCGCCUAAGCGGCCUGGGCGGCCGAGUUUUAGAACACUGCCUUGUGGACCUCGGUCUAAAUACUAACUAGGUGAGUGUGUUACCAACUCACCAACAUAACCGAAGUGGCUUGCUACCUAUAAAGUGCAAUUAC